AUUGAACGCUGGCGGCAGGCUUAACACAUGCAAGUCGAGCGGGGUGAUGGUGCUUGCACUAUCACUUAGCGGCGGACGGGUGAGUAAUGCUUAGGAAUCUGCCUAUUAGUGGGGGACAACAUCUCGAAAGGGAUGCUAAUACCGCAUACGUCCUACGGGAGAAAGCAGGGGAUCACUUGUGACCUUGCGCUAAUAGAUGAGCCUAAGUCGGAUUAGCUAGUUGGUGGGGUAAAGGCCUACCAAGGCGACGAUCUGUAGCGGGUCUGAGAGGAUGAUCCGCCACACUGGGACUGAGAACCGGCCCAGACUCCCACGGGAGGCAGCAGUGGGGAAUAUUGGACAAUGGGGGGAACCCUGAUCCAGCCAUGCCGCGUGUGUGAAGAAGGCCUUAUGGUUGUAAAGCACUUUAAGCGAGGAGGAGGCUCUUUUGGUUAAUACCCAAGAUGAGUGGACGUUACUCGCAGAAUAAGCACCGGCUAACUCUGUGCCAGCCGCCGCCGUAA
rnacentral:rRNA from 1 species